UUUUGAACCCGUCCCUGAAACACGGACCAAGGAGUCUAACAUGUGCGCGAGUCAUUGGGUCUUGCUCAGGCCCAAAGGCGCAAUGAAAGUGAAGGCCGGCUCGGUCGGCUGCGUUGGGAUCCCGCCCCCUUCUAAAAGGGCGGGCGCACCAACGGCCCGUCCCRGUCGCUGCGUCGACGGGGCGGAGUGAGAGCGUACACGUUGGGACCCGAAAGAUGGUGAACUAUGCCUGGGCAGGACGAAGCCAGAGGAAACUCUGGUGGAGGUCCGCAGCGAUUCUGACGUGCAAAUCGAUCGUCAGACCUGGGUAUAGGGGCGAAAGACUAAUCGAACCAUCUAGUAGCUGGUUCCCUCCGAAGUUUCCCUCAGGAUAGCUGGCGCUCGGAGGAAGCAUUCUCAUCCGGUAAAGCGAAUGAUUAGAGGCCUUGGGGCCGAAACGACCUCAACCUAUUCUCAAACUUUAAAUGGGUGAGAAGUCCGGCUUGCUCGACUGAAGCCCGGACGUGAGGAUGCGAGUGCCCAGUGGGCCACUUUUGGUAAGCAGAAUG
rnacentral:rRNA from 1 species